rnacentral:rRNA from 1 species
AACGAACGCUGGCGGCAUGCCUAACACAUGCAAGUCGAACGAGACCUUCGGGUCUAGUGGCGCACGGGUGCGUAACGCGUGGGAACCUGCCCUUAGGUUCGGAAUAACUCCCCGAAAGGGGUGCUAAUACCGGAUAAUGUCUUCGGACCAAAGAUUUAUCGCCUUUGGAUGGGCCCGCGUUGGAUUAGCUAGUUGGUAGGGUAAAAGCCUACCAAGGCGACGAUCCAUAGCUGGUCUGAGAGGAUGAUCAGCCACACUGGGACUGAGACACGGCCCAGACCCCUACGGGAGGAAGGAGGGGGGAAUAUUGGAAAAGGGGCAAAAGCCUGAACCAGAAAUGCCGGGGGAGUGAUGAAGGCCUUAGGGUUGUAAAGCUCUUUUACCCGGGAUGAUAAUGACAGUACCGGGGGAAAAAGCUCCGGCUAACUCCGG